rnacentral:lncRNA from 1 species
CUAAACUUGUGGGAUGAAAACUUGAUCUGAAGUCUAAGUUGUUAACGGAUACGAUAUGGGAAGGUUGAGCUGCUGUUUAUCUGUUCCUAGAGAUGCUAGAAUUCUGGAGAAUUUUAUCUUUGAAAAUCUUUAAAAUGUUGCAUGAUGAAUUCUUAUAUGAUGAGAGUUUUAAAUUCCAACCACAGCCAUAUAUACAUGCUUGCUAGACUUUGAGCCACACAUUUACUAUUUACUGCUUAUGAGCAUUGAGUGUGGUCAAGCUGUGUAGACCCUUAGGAGCUUGUCAUGUGGUUAAAUCAAGAUUCACUUGCACGUUCACUCACACAUGCUACUUCUACUCCAGAAGUACCAUCCACAUAUAUCCACCCAUUUUCAUCUCCAGAACCACCUAAAAAAUAUUCUACUCCUAAUCCGGGAGAGAAUAGCCAAAAAUAUUUCUGUUUUUCUCUGUGAAAUAAAUGCUCAAGUUAUCUUGUUACUACCACUUGCUAUAUUAUCUCAAGAGAUGAGUGCUCUGAAAAAAAAGAGAAAAAGAGAUACGAGAAAAUAAAAAGGGGCAAGUGUCCGGAACCUCGAAAGAAAAGAAAAAGUGAGACGAGAGGUAAAAAUGGACAAGUGUCCGACAGUAGAAUUAGGGGUACAAGAUACCCACCUGAGAGAAAAGAUAAAGAAGAGCAUCUCAUUCUCCUCAUAAAGUUUCAGAAAGCAAGGAAGGUAUGUAUCCCCUCAAAGAGCAAAAGUAGAAUUAGACUUCCACCAUUGUUAUCACCAUCAUCACCAUACACCAUUCAUUCGCCACACAUGCACAUCUUGAUUUGGCUUAUUGAUUUGUUUCUUUGGAUCCAUGGUUUGACUAUACAAUAAAUGUCUUGUAAGUAUGUAUACUUUAUCUCCCACCUAUGAGCCCCAGAUAUUAAAGCCUUAUUAGAGUAGGGUGAGAGAGAAGGCAAUGUCACUAUGCUUUAUACCACAAAUACUACAUAUCUUGAGAGAAGGCAUAUACCAUCACUGCCUUGGUAAGGAUCCAGAAAUACCACACAAGAGAGAUUUGAGAGAAUCAUACAAGGAAUCUCUGAGUUUUAUUUGAAAAUCUACAAAAACACCAGAGCUAUAGCUGAUCAAGAAU